GAUAGGUGUCUAUGUUUGUACACUGUGACUUGUGAUGUCACUGGCAUGGUUUCGCGUUGCAUCGAAGAGGCGUUUCGAAAGAGUGAGUCAUUUUAGAUUUUGAUAACUGUACAAAACAAUUGUGACCCGAUAAACAAUCGACAAAAACCGUCUUGAACAAAGAAGGGUCGGCGGUCAGUAGUAUUCUGCGGACUUGAAUAAGUUUCAUUAACUUAAAAAAUGCCAGACACAUCGAGUAUAUCGCAGUUCCCGUUGAAGGUGAUAUUUGCAAUACAUUUAGUGCUAGUAACAUGGACUGUUCAGGGGUUCUGGUGUCCAAAAUCAGUAAUGUUUUACAAUUUGCUCUUCUUUGUUUGUAUAUUAUGGGCUAUACAUCAUAUCGAAUCAGAUGAACCAGUGCAAUUUGCGCUAUUGAUAAAUGUACUUUCCAUAUUUCUUGAUGUAAUAACGUUAGCAAUUUAUUUUCCAACAACAUAUGCAGCUGAGAAGUUUAGCGCAGCAAUUAUGAUCAUAAAUCUAAUUGCGCGUGUUAUCACGAGCAUAUCACUACUGAGAAUAGGCCAAGCAAGAGGUGGAUGUUUAGCGACAAUGUUUUCGCAGGGUCCGGCAAUGGGUCAGUAAUACAUUGGACAAACAGAUCUGUGUUUAGUAGGCCUGCAUUGCUUCUUCAUACUUUCGCUUUAAGUCUAGGACGGCAGGAAUACGAGGACAUAUCUCACUCGAUCCCCCAGAAUUCUGACUUCACCAGAGUUUAAUGACAUGACGAAAUGAAAUUACAAACAAAUUGAUAUCGGAAACGAUAUCAACCUCUCUGUUACAUCUGUGUUAGCAAUAAGUAAGCACGCGUAAUUGGGCGAUACUCAGAUCUAUUUUUUACGAGAAAUACUUCAUAAAAUACGACUGAAAUGCAAACCGAAAAGAGACGAAUCUGUCGUCCCUUUUCGGUAUCGUAAACAUAUAUCGAACACAUCGACACGUGACGCGCCCACACCAAUCAUCGCUAUCGGCUUGUACACUAACAAUGACAGGAGAUUGUAACAUAAUGCUACACGAACAAUUACGUUAUUGUAUCACACUAAUAAAUUUUAUCUUAGUUGUAUAUUUUGUACGUUAAAUUAACAAGGAUAUAUUAUCUAUUGUUGUUUGUAUUUAUAAAUUGUGAAUAAAACUGCUCACCACAACUGCACAGA